AUCACUUCAUUAUAAUCAAGUCCUAUACUGGGCUUUAGUACAUUAUUACUGUCUUCCCUUUUUCCAACCUGUAUGAGCUUUUUGCUCUUGGGAAACCAGGUCUAGCAGAUACCCAGAGGAAGAUCCAAGGAUUUUCCUUGCUGCAAAACUGAAGUUCAUUCAUAACAAAGGUCUGAAGUUACCUACUCUUCUUGACGUCCACAAUAAGUAUACUUCUAUCUCCAGCCUGAAGAGAAGAAUGACUUUAGCGCCUGUAUUUACCAGAAUUCUUUAUGUGUUUACUUCGUUGUUACUACUCCUGUACAGAGAAAGGGUGCAGAAAAAAAAAAACAAAAAUGCUGUACACAGGCAAAGCAACUCCUGUAGCGUGCUCCUAGAAGUGAGCCUUUGGGAUUGAGACCACACUAGAGGAGAUAUUCAAGAUGAACAGAGGUGCUUUCUCCUCUUGUCUGACUUUCGGCAGAAGUAAGACAGAACAAAGAUCGGUUUUUAAGAAAAUUGAAGAAACUAACAACUUGAAUUUAGAAAGAAAGUGAUCAUCUGUGAACACAUCUAAGGAACAAGAUAGUAGUGUGUACAGGCACAGAAGACAAGAACUGGGAGAGUAUGUUACCCAGGUUUUUGCUGCAUAGCAAGUGUCUUAAAGAGAGGUAGCUUGUAAGACUUUGUUAUUGAGUACUUAAUUUCACAGUUUCUUGCAUUUCGUCUUCUAUCUAAUAUCAGAUCUGCAAAUCUAUUUAACAAUUAUUGGUACUCUGGUUUCCAAAAUGGCACAACUCUGACUGCUUUCUUUUCCUUGGAAAUUUCGU